rnacentral:rRNA from 1 species
GACGUAGGGGGCCAGCGUUGUUCGGAAUUACUGGGUGUAAAGGGUUCGUAGGCGGUGCGGCAAGUCGGGAGUGAAAUCUCUGGGCUUAACCCAGAGGCUGCUUCCGAAACUGCUGUGCUUGAGUGUGGGAGAGGCGCGUGGAAUUGCAGGUGUAGCGGUGAAAUGCGUAGAUAUCUGCAGGAACACCCGUGGCGAAAGCGGCGCGCUGGACCACUACUGACGCUGAGGAGCGAAAGCGUGGGGAGCGAACAGG